rnacentral:rRNA from 1 species
AGAGUUUGAUCAUGGCUCAGGACGAACGCUGGCGGCGUGCUUAACACAUGCAAGUCGAGCGGACUUUGGGAGCUUGCUCUUAAAGUUAGCGGCGGACGGGUGAGUAACACGUGGGUAAUCUGCCCUCGAGUGGGGAAUAACACAGAGAAAUCUGUGCUAAUACCGCAUAAUGUAUGCUGGUCGCAUGACCGGCAUAAAAAAGAUUUAUUGCUUGAGGAUGAGCCCGCGGCCCAUUAGCUAGUUGGUGAGGUAAUGGCCCACCAAGGCAACGAUGGGUAGCCGACCUGAGAGGGUGAUCGGCCACAUUGGAACUGAGACACGGUCCAGACUCCUACGGGAGGCAGCAGUGGGGAAUAUUGCACAAUGGGGGAAACCCUGAUGCAGCAACGCCGCGUGAGCGGCGAAGGCCUUCGGGUUGUAAAGCUCUGUCUUCACUGACGAAGUAUGACGGUAAGUGAGGAGGAAGCCACGGCUAACUACGUGCCAGCAGCCGCGGUAAUACGUAGGUGGCAAGCGUUGUCCGGAAUUAUUGGGCGUAAAGGGUGCGUAGGCGGUCUUUUAAGUGGGAUGUGAAGUACCUAGGCUUAACUUAGGAAUGGCAUUCCAAACUGGAAGACUAGAGUGCAGGAGAGGAAAGUGGAAUUCCCAGUGUAGCGGUGAAAUGCGUAGAGAUUGGGAGGAACACCAGUGGCGAAGGCGACUUUCUGGACUGUAACUGACGCUGAGGCACGAAAGCGUGGGGAGCAAACAGGAUUAGAUACCCUGGUAGUCCACGCUGUAAACUAUGAGUACUAGGUGUGGGGGGGCGAAGCCCUCUGUGCCGCAGUUAACACAAUAAGUACUCCGCCGGAAGUACGAUCGCAAGAUUAAAACUCAAAUGAAUUGACGGAAUCUGACGGAAUCGU